rnacentral:rRNA from 1 species
UAGAGUUUUGAUCCUGGCUCAGGAUGAACGCUGGCGGCGUGCCUAACACAUGCAAGUCGAACGAAGCAUGCCGGAGGAAGUUUUCGGAUGGAAUCCGGGAUGACUGAGUGGCGGACGGGUGAGUAACGCGUGGGUAACCUGCCCUGUACAGGGGGACAACAGUUAGAAAUGACUGCUAAUACCGCAUAAGCGCACAGGACCGCAUGGUCCGGUGUGAAAAACUCCGGUGGUACAGGAUGGACCCGCGUCUGAUUAGGUAGUUGGCGGGGUAACGGCCCACCAAGCCGACGAUCAGUAGCCGACCUGAGAGGGUGACCGGCCACAUUGGGACUGAGACACGGCCCAAACUCCUACGGGAGGCAGCAGUGGGGAAUAUUGCACAAUGGGGGAAACCCUGAUGCAGCGACGCCGCGUGAGUGAAGAAGUAUUUCGGUAUGUAAAGCUCUAUCAGCAGGGAAGAAAAUGACGGUACCUGACUAAGAAGCCCCGGCCAACUACGUG